UACGUAGGGGGCAAGCGUUGUCCGGAAUUAUUGGGCGUAAAGAGCUCGUAGGCGGUGUGUCACGUCGGCCGUGAAAACUUGCAGCUUAACUGUGGGCGUGCGGUCGAUACGGGCAUCACUGGAGUUCGGCAGGGGAGACUGGAAUUCCUGGUGUAGCGGUGAAAUGCGCAGAUAUCAGGAGGAACACCGGUGGCGAAGGCGGGUCUCUGGGCCGAUACUGACGCUGAGGAGCGAAAGCGUGGGGAGCAAACAGG
rnacentral:rRNA from 1 species